CUGGGGCUAAGCAAAAUGUUAACUUACACACUUCAGUUUUUCCUUUCUAAAGACAGCGAUGCUUUUACAUUCCUAAGGUAAUGAUGCAGUCCUAGAGUAGAUUCCUUUGAAGGCACAGUUUUCAAGAAAUUCUAUUCAUGCCACAUUCUUAAGAAUCAGCAACUAUGUGAAAUGAAUAUUCAAAGAAGGUGCAAAUCUCUGUACACUGCUUCUGCAAGGCUAGUUGAGUGCCCUGUUAAAGUCGGCAAGGUUCCCAAAGCCAGAGUACAAGUUCAAGCCAUCUAAGAAAACUUAUACAGAUGAGGCCCACUCACUUCAGAGAAAUCUAGGAAAAAUAAGAUUCGAGGCAGUACAACACUAAAUAGUUACAUUUCAAUAGCAUCUCUCAUAGCUGGGUGCUUCUUUUAUGCUGAAAUAUCCCAGAUAUUUUGAGUUAGAGAAAAAUCAUAGCUUACGACAAUAUUCUAUUGAGGUUUAGAAAAAUAUUUUUGAUUGCAUAUUACAUAUUAUAAAGAAAAACACUAGAUAAAUAAAAUAAAAGACUAGUCUGAAUCUCAUAGCUCUCAUAAAUCUGUAUUAAAAUAGCACUUGAAGUCACACAGCAACAAUACAUUUCUUUGCCAAGCCUUUUUAAAAAUAAGGAAAACUGGAGUUCCCAUCGUGGUUCAUCAGAAGUGUAUCUGACUAAUAUCUAUGAGGACUGAGGUUUGGUUCCUGGUCUCUCUCAGUGGGUUAAGUAAGCUUUGCAGUGAGCUGUGGUGUAGGUCACAGAUGCAGCUCAGAGCUAGUGUUGCUGUGGCUGUGACGUAUGCCAGAAGCGGUCAGCUCCGAUUUGACCCCUAGCCUGUGAACUUCCAUAUGCCACAGCCACAAAAGGCAAAAAAAUAAAAUAAAAAAUACAGAAAGAAAAACUUAGGCAAUUCAUAAAAUUCCCUAAUGGAAAUACGAUGGAAAUACGAAAGCCACUAAAAAAGGAAUUCAUAUAAUACAAGUAAAUAUAUGAAAGUAUUUGAUAAUGUAUUUUCAUAGAUGGGUCUUUACAGAGAGACCUAUGUCAGCACGAAGAAGUUACGGAAGGUGUGGUUCGCAGAUGUGGCUCAGAUCCCAUAGUCCCACAGAUAUGGAAGAAUGUUUGACAGUGGGGAAUUAAAAGCAGCUCUUUUGUUCUCUUCCUGUUUGCCUACUUCCAUUUCCUUCUAACCUUGAAAACUAAUUAAUUUGUUGAUUCUUUUCUUAAAUUAAAAAAAAAGUAAGAAUAAAGAAUUACGUAGCUAAGGAGUGACUAGGCCUCUACCCACAACGGUCCCAUUACCAAUACUGAAAGCAAAUUAGGAAAGCACCGUAAUAUCUGAAGAGAAUCAGCCAACCUACAUGCAAUGGCAAAUGAUACAGAACCCGAUCUCCUGCCUCCAUGAUUCACGGAGAUUCUCCCCCAUUUCCUUUUAAAACUGUCCUGACUCUGCAGACUCUAAGCAGAAUGAGUCUGCAUUCUCCCCAAAUUGCCAGCUUUCUGAUUAAAGGAUCUUUCCUUUCUCCUGACACUUGCCUCUCAGUUUUUGGCUUUUGAGUAGUGAGCAGCUGAACCUGAGUUUGGUUAACACUCUUUCUAUAUUUAAAUGAAUUGUUUUCUUUUUUCAUUUUCACAAGUAGGAUGUCUACUACUCUUAUGAUGGAAGAUUGUCAGAAAAAUGUACUACAAGUGAAUCGAGUGGUGGAUUUAUUUUUCCAAAAUGCUUGAUUAAAAUAGUAAAACAAAUAUAGCCAUGGCCGUAUAUCUUCCCUGCCAAAAAAAAGAAACAACAUAUAUAUCAUAAAGUAAUAAUAUACAGCUAUUGAAUAACAUGUAAUUGCAUAAUAGGGUUUUUAUUUUCGAGUGAAUAGUACAGAAAGCCAAAAGAAUCAACUUGGAAGAGAUUUCUUUUCUUUCUUUAUUUAUUUAUUUUUUUUGUCUUUUUAGGUCCACUCCUGUGGCACAUAGAGAUUCCCAGGCUAGGAAUCGGAGCCGUAGCCACCAGCCCAUGUCUACAGCCACAGCAAUGCAGGACAUGAACCAUGUUUGCAACACCACAGCUCACAACAAUGCUGGAUCCUUAACCCACCGAGCGAGGCCAGGGAUCGAACCCCUGUUCUUAUGGAUACUAGUUGGGUUCAUUAACCAUUGAGCCCCGACGGGAACUAUACAUAGUUGCCAGUCUUGUAUAUACAUAUUGAUACAUGGAUUUUAGGAUUGUCACCACCCUUUGUUUAGAUUUGACUUUAUAAAGCUAGAGAAAGCAUUAGAUUGUUAUUUUCAGAAGGCUUAUAUCUUCGAUUCAAGUAAGUUGUCACCAGAUGUACUCCUACCAAACGUUACAGAACAUCUCUUCAAAACUAGCCCUUGACCACACUAUCAGAAUUCAAUCCUUUCUACUUUUAAAUGACAGACAUCAAAAUCGAUAUGUAAUUUUUUAAAAUUAUUUAAGGGUUCACAUUGUUGACAAAAAAUAUGCACGACUUAAAAGUUGAUAGUGAAGUUUUAUUUGGGACAAAACAAGGACUCUAGCCUGGGAGGCAGCAUUUCAGAUCACUCUAAAAUACCACUCCAGGAGUUCCCAUCAUGGCUCAGGGGAAAUGAAUCUCACUAGGAACCAUGAGGCUGAGGGUUCAAUCCCUGGCCUUGCUCAGUGGGUUGUCACGAGCUGUGGUGGAGGUCAGAGCUCGGAUCUGAUAUUGCUGUGGCUGUGGCGUAUGCCAGCAGCUGUAGCUCCGAUUUGACCCCUAGCCUGGCAACCUCCAUAUGCUUCGGGUGUAGCCCUAAAAAGACAAAUUAAUUAAUUAAUUAAUUAAUUUAAUUAAAUACCACUCCAAAGAGGCAGAGGGAAAUGUCAGCGUAUAUGUGAGUUUGGUGAUGGGGGAGGUACAUGCAGCCAUGCAUACAUUUUACAGAAGUCUGCUGCUGAUCUCAUGAAGGUUACUGCUAGUUAUGAAUAUUAGACAUCACCAUGAAGGAUUUAGUGCUUUCCUAGAUAUGAGGAGAUGCAAGAAUUGGGCUCAUAAAAUCUUCUCCUGAAAAUAUCUAUCUGAGCACUUGUUCUGCCAGUCUUCCCAGAGCGCAGAACUCCUUUCAGAGGGUGUUGAGUGUUGGCAGCUGCAGUGGCUCAUGAUUCAACCAGGGUAGAGGCAGAUGGCACAUGCCAGUCUCCAGUUCACAACACUAAAUUUUUUGUUUCACUUUGGAUUUCAAAGUAUUACAAUCCUCUUAAGAAUAAUUUUUCUGGAAAUAAAUCCUAAUUCCAAGUAUUAGGAGACAUAUGUACUAGAAUGGAAGGUCCAUGAGGGCAGGGAUCUUCUUAUGCAAAUCUUAAGUAUACCUAGCAUAUUGCUUGGCACAUAAUAAAUAAGAAUGUAUAGAAAAAAAAUUACCAUUUAAUUCUUUAAAAAAAAUAUGGUGUUGAGGAUGGGGGUAACUUACUGAGGAGAUAUUACAAUGAUAUAUCCAAGAAAAAAAUGUAAGAAACAAUCUUCCACAAAAAGAUAAAAUUUAAAUUUUAUCUGCCUGUCAAAUGUAUUAUUCGUAUUCUACAAAGAAAUCACUGUAAUCUUGUUUGCUCUCAACUUUUUCUAAUCAAGGAUUCUUUCCAGCUUUUAUAAUCCCAAAGCACAAAUGUAAUGAAAUAUUGAAUUCUGAAUUUAGGUGGGCAUAGUAAAACUGUCUUUAAAUUAUGACUUGGAACUAGGUAUUUUAUAGGUAGCAUAUACUUUCCUUUUGUGGUGUACUUGGUUUCAGAUCAAAAAAAUUAACAUUUUAUGUACCUUACAGACCAAUUCUUUUUGAAAAUGGAUGGAAGCCAUGGUUUUAUAAGUUUUGCUCACAGUCACAAAUCUUGAAUUUCAUAGAACCAUUCUAUAGUUUAUUGGGAAACAUUCUUUCAGCUGUAGAUAAAGAUUACUAAUCAACAUAUUGAUUUUUUAGUGGUUCUUCUUUAGAAAAUCCAUGUAAAUUUUUUUUCUCAAAUUAUUACCAAUUUAAAUUUUAAUAUGGCAUAUUUUGCAUAUAAAUAUUUUUACAUAGAAAAAUAUUUGUAUUAUUUUCCUGAAUUUCUUAAUUAUAUAGUCAUUAAAUUAAUCGCAUUUCUGAUCAUCACAGAAAGACAGGAACAAGAAUAAUAAAAAUGAAUAAAUUAAUUGUAAUUUAUUCACAUAAUUCAGCAUGAAGACGAAUGAGUUACUGCUACAUACAAUGACAUAAAAGAGACUUACAUAGAAAAUAUAAAGAACAUGAAGCCAUUCACAAAAUAAAACUGUUUACAUUAUAUAAAGCUCAAAACUGGGUAAAACUAGAUAGGAGUUUGUUAGAAGUCAAAGUGGUGCCAUUGGAGGAGUCACUGUUCCUUACAAAAAACAUAAAGGAGCUUCUGGGGCUCUAAUAAUAUUCUCUUCAUUUAUUCAUUUAUUUUUUCUUUUACAGCAGUACCUGCAGCACAUGGAAGUUCUGGACUAGGAGUCAAAUCAGAGCUGCAGUGGCAGGGCUAGGCCACAGACACAACGGUACCAGAUUUGAACUGCAUCUGCGACCUACGCUGCAGCUUGUGACAAUGCUGGAUCCUUAAACCCACUGAAUGAGGCCAGAUAUCAAACCCUCAUCCUCACAUGAACUACAUUAGGGUUUUUAACCCAUUGAGGCACAACGGGAAUUCCCAAUGUUCUCCUUCAUUAAGUAGGUCUGUUUACACAAAUGUGUUCACUUUGUUAAAACUUAGCUGUCUUAUUUAGUUACCAUUUGUGUAUUUUUAUCUAUGUGUAAUAUAAGAAGUGUAUUUUUAAAAGAUAUCUGACACUUGCUACUAUAUAAAAAGUAAUUUUGUAUAGCAAACUAAUAUUAUAUAAUAUAUAGAAUAUUUUAUGAUAUAUUAAUACUUUAGUGAUAAAUAGUAAUAACAUGUAUCUAAGAGUUCAUUAUAUAUUACAGUAAUGCCUGUAUAGCAAUGUGGUAAAUUAUAUAAUAAUACAUUAAAAAAAUAAUAAUUAUAGCUAAUACAUAUCAUGCUUAAUGUAUGCCCAAUUCUAGUGCUUGAUAUGUUUACAUAUUAAAUUCUUUAAAAAAAUCCUCUAUUUCCAAGGUCCAAUUCCACACAUAUGAAGUUUGGAAGUUGCCACUUCAUC
rnacentral:lncRNA from 1 species